GAGGGUAUAGCUCAAGUGGUAGAGCACACGCUUAGCAUGUAUGAGGUCCUGGGUUCAAACUCCAGUCCCUCCU
rnacentral:tRNA from 1 species